UACGGAGGGGACUAGCGUUGUUCGGAAUUACUGGGCGGAAAGCGCGCGUAGGCGGAUUUGCAAGUCGGGGGUGAAAGCCCGAGGCUCAACCUCGGAACUGCCCUCGAUACUGCAAAUCUCGAGUCCGAGAGAGGUGAGUGGAAUUCCUAGUGUAGAGGUGAAAUUCGUAGAUAUUAGGAAGAACACCAGUGGCGAAGGCGGCUCACUGGCUCGGUACUGACGCUGAGGCGCGAAAGCGUGGGGAGCAAACAGG
rnacentral:rRNA from 1 species